UUUGUGAAGCCGGGCUGUAAGGCAUCCGGUGGAGUGAUCAGAAGUGAGAAUGUUGACAUGAGUAGCGACAAACAGGGUGAGAGACCCUGUCGCCGAAAGUCCAAGGGUUCCUGCUUAAAGCUAAUCUGAGCAGGGUAAGCCGGCCCCUAAGGCGAGGCCGAAAGGCGUAGUCGAUGGAAACCAGGUUAAUAUUCCUGGGCCAGGAGAUGGUGACGGAUCGUGGAAGUUGUCAGGCCUUAACGGAUUGGUCUGGCAGCCAGACGGUCCCUGGAAAUAGCCCUCCACAAGACCGUACCCUAAACCGACAUAGGUGGACUGGUAGAGAAUACCAAGGCGCUUGAGAGAACCACAUUUAAGGAACUCGGCAAAAUACCUCCGUAAGUUCGCGAGAAGGAGGCCCCGUUGUUGCGCAAGCAGUGGCGGGGGGCACAAAAAUGGGGGUGGCGACUGUUUACUAAAAACACAGGGCUCUGCGAAGUCGCAAGACGACGUAUAGGGUCUGACGCCUGCCCGGUGCCGGAAGGUUAAAAGGAGAUGUGCAAGCAUUGAAUUGAAGCCCCGGUAAACGGCGGCCGUAACUAUAACGGUCCUAAGGUAGCGAAAUUCCUUGUCGGGUAAGUUCCGACCUGCACGAAUGGCGUAACGACUUCCCCGCUGUCUCAAAUGUGGACUCAGCGAAAUUGAAUUGUCUGUGAGGAUGCAGACUUCCCGCGGUUAGACGGAAAGACCCCAUGCACCUUUACUAUAGCUUCGCACUGGCAUCAGGAUUGUGAUGUGCAGGAUAGGUGGUAGGCAUUGAAACCGGGACGCCAGUUCCGGUGGAGCCAUCCUUGAGAUACCACCCUUCGCACUCUUGAUGUCUAACCGCGGCCCGUUAUCCGGGUCCGGGACCCUGCGUGGUGGGUAGUUUGACUGGGGCGGUCGCCUCCCAAACAGUAACGGAGGCGCGCGAAGGUAGGCUCAGAGCGGUCGGAAAUCGCUCGUUGAGUGCAAUGGCAGAAGCCUGCCUGACUGCAAGACUGACAAGUCGAGCAGAGACGAAAGUCGGUCAUAGUGAUCCGGUGGUCCCGAGUGGAAGGGCCAUCGCUCAACGGAUAAAAGGUACGCUGGGGAUAACAGGCUGAUGAUGCCCAAGAGUCCAUAUCGACGGCAUCGUUUGGCACCUCGAUGUCGGCUCAUCUCAUCCUGGGGCUGGAGCAGGUCCCAAGGGUACGGCUGUUCGCCGUUUAAAGAGGUACGUGAGCUGGGUUUAGAACGUCGUGAGACAGUUCGGUCCCUAUCUGCCGUGGGUGUAGGAUACUUGAGAGGAGUUGCCCCUAGUACGAGAGGACCGGGGUGAACGUUCCACUGGUGGACCAGUUGUCGUGCCAACGGCAGUGCUGGGUAGCUAUGAACGGACAGGAUAAACGCUGAAGGCAUCUAAGCGUGAAGCCCCCCUCAAAACAAGGUAUCCCUUGAGAGCCGUGGAAGACCACCACGUCGAUAGGCCGGAGAUGUAAGCGCAGCAAUGCGUUCAGUUGACCGGUACUAAU
rnacentral:rRNA from 1 species